AGCCCAAAGUGCAAGGCCGUGUAUUCUCUUCUUCGAUGAGUUUGACAGUCUUGCACCAAGACGUGGUCAUGACACUUCUGGUGUCUCUGAUAGAGUUGUAAAUCAAUUAUUGACCGAAUUAGACGGUUGUGAAGCCCGAGAUGUAACUGGUGGUGUUUUUAUAUUAGCUGCUACGAGUCGACCUGAUCUUAUAGAUCCUGCAUUAUUAAGACCAGGACGAUUAGAUCCACAAUUUUUAUGUCCAAUUCCGGACACUGAUGGAAGAUUUGAUAUUUUGAAAUCUUUGACCAC